UGGGGAAUAUUGCACAAUGGGGGAAACCCUGAUGCAGCGACGCCGCGUGAGUGAAGAAGUAUUUCGGUACGUAAAGCUCUGUCAGCAGGGACGAUAAUGACGGUACCUGACCAAGAAGCCCCGGCUAACUACGUGCCAGCAGCCGCGGUAAUACGUAGGGGGCAAGCGUUAUCCGGAUUUACUGGGUGUAAAGGGAGCGUAGACGGCAAGGCAAGUCUGGAGUGAAAGGCCGGGGCCCAACCCCGGGACUGCUCUGGAAACUGUCAGGCUGGAGUACGGGAGAGGUAAGUGGAAUUCCUGGUGUAGCGGUGAAAUGCGUAGAUAUCAGGAGGAACACCAGUGGCGAAGGCGGCUUACUGGACCGUGACUGACGUUGAGGCUCGAAAGCGUGGGGAGCAAACAGG
rnacentral:rRNA from 1 species